GAUGAACGCUGGCGGCGUGCCUAAUACAUGCAAGUCGAGCGAACAGACGAGGAGCUUGCUCCUCUGACGUUAGCGGCGGACGGGUGAGUAACACGUGGAUAACCUACCUAUAAGACUGGGAUAACUUCGGGAAACCGGAGCUAAUACCGGAUAAUAUAUUGAACCGCAUGGUUCAAUAGUGAAAGACGGUUUUGCUGUCACUUAUAGAUGGAUCCGCGCCGCAUUAGCUAGUUGGUAAGGUAACGGCUUACCAAGGCAACGAUGCGUAGCCGACCUGAGAGGGGUGACGGCCACAACGGGACGGGGACCCGGGCCAGACCUCUACGGGGGGGCGGCGGAGGGGAUUUGCCGCAAGGGGGGAAAGCCAUGCAGAAGAACCGCGGGGGGGGGGAGAAGGACCUCGGAGCGUAAAACUCUUUUUUUGGGGAAAAACAAAUGGGUAAGUAACUAGGGCCCUUGUGGGGGUCCCAAAACAAAAAGCCCCCGAAAACCACG
rnacentral:rRNA from 1 species